GUCGCAGCUCCUCCUGCGUCGCCCUGAGUAAAGAAAAGGGGGAGACCGAGGCUGGGGCAACCGAUGGGACCAGGAAGAGAGGGGGUCAAACGAAGGCUGGGCAUUUCAUAAUGAGAAACUGGAUACGAAGAUGGAGAAACCAAAGACCAAGACAGGCUAAAGUAGAGGAUUGGUACUGGGCGGUCACCUUGUCUGGGAGGACGCCUUUGGAUUGGUUGAGUGUGACGACAUUUGAUCUGGUAGCUGACACACCUGUCAAUCUCGGCCGCGCCCCAUCUCCAGAAACUACGUUUCCCAGCAUUA
rnacentral:lncRNA from 1 species